AUCCAGCUGACGAGUCCUGAAUAGGACGAAACGUGCGUCCUGGAU
rfam:Schistosoma haematobium scaffold555_15, whole genome shotgun sequence.